GACGAACGCUGGCGGCGUGCUUAACACAUGCAAGUCGAACGGAAAGGCCCUGCUUUUGUGGGGUGCUCGAGUGGCGAACGGGUGAGUAACACGUGAGUAACCUGCCCUUGACUUUGGGAUAACUUCAGGAAACUGGGGCUAAUACCGGAUAGGAGCUCCUGCUGCAUGGUGGGGGUUGGAAAGUUUCGGCGGUUGGGGAUGGACUCGCGGCUUGUCAGCUUGUUGGUGGGGUAGUGGCUUACCAAGGCUUUGACGGGUAGCCGGCCUGAGAGGGUGACCGGCCACAUUGGGACUGAGAUACGGCCCAGACUCCUACGGGAGGCAGCAGUGGGGAAUAUUGCACAAUGGGCGGAAGCCUGAUGCAGCAACGCCGCGUGCGGGAUGACGGCCUUCGGGUUGUAAACCGCUUUCGCCUGUGACGAAGCGUGAGUGGCGGUAAUGGGUAAAGAAGCACCGGCUAACUACGUG
rnacentral:rRNA from 1 species